rnacentral:tRNA from 1 species
GGGAUUGUGGCUCAGUGGUAGAGCGCUCACCUCGCACGUGAGAGGCCCUGGGUUCGAUCCUCAGAACCACA